GUAGGUGUCAUAUAGCUUAAACGCUGAUUCUCCAGGCAAAGUAUCGCCCGAUUUUAAAUCUGCAGUGAAUUUUUCCAAUAGACUAAUGCCUUUCAUCAAAGUGUCUUUAAAGUUUUCUUCCUCUGAUUUUAACGUCGUUUCUAUUAAGCUUUUAGCUCUGAUCAAUUCAGGAUAAAUAUCCCCCAUAUAAGCCGAACUCGUGCUAUCUAUCAGCACCGGAAAAACGCGAUGGAGUAGGGAAUCAUUAUAUCCAAGCAGGGAGCACCCCCUCUGCGAUGAGAAAUGCAGCCGCGCGAAGAUGAUCUGCUAUGAUCUUAUGCGCUAUUUUAUUUUCCGUUCUUCCACAGUACUCUUGUGAUUUACUUAUCAGAGCAGAAAAUAGAUCAAUAUCAUAGUUAUCAUGGACGUUUUGCAUAACAGCCGCUAUUCUUUCAAGGCCCAUUCCAGUAUCGAUGCAUUUUUUUGGCAAUUUGUGUAAAUUACCUUCUUCAUCUUUGUUAAACUCCAUGAAUACCAGAUUCCAGAUUUCAACAAUUCUAUCGCCCUCUUGUAAAUUAGGACUCCCAUGGUCAUAAAAAAUUUCAGAACAUGGACCGCACGGACCAGUAUUUCCCAUACUCCAAAAGUUAUCAUCCGUUGUAAUUCUUAUGAUUUUAUCACUUGAAAAGCCACUUAUCUUACGCCAAAUCUCGUACGCCUCAUCAUCAGUAUGGUAGACGGUUAUGGAUAGUCUGUUUUUAUCAAGAGAUAACUCUUUAGUGAUAAAUUCCCACGCAAAUUCUAUCGCAGUUUCCUUAAAGUAAUCACCGAAGCUAAAAUUUCCGAGCAUUUCAAAAAAUGUGUGAUGCCGAGUUGUAUAGCCAACAUUUUCAAGAUCAUUGUGUUUACCGCCUGCUCUUAGGCACUUUUGACUUGAGACAGCACGUUUCAUUUCAGUUUUUUGAGCACCAGUAAAAAUAUUUUUAAACUGCACCAUACCAGCAUUUGUGAACAUGAGCGUUGGGUCAUGUUCUGGAAUCAAAGGAGAAGAAGAAACCUGCUCGUGGUCAUUAUUUACAAAAAAUUUUAUAAAUCUUUCUCUGAUUUCGUUUAGCUUCAUCGUUUUUAUUGAGGUUAUCUAUAAAUAAUAAGUUGUAAUGGAAAUAAAAUCAAUACCACUCUCUAGAUCUCAGAACUUCUAGUGACAUGCACCUUGUGGUAAGAAAAAAUCAAUAUAUUCACGAUAAAUUUACCUCAUAUCUGUGUUUUAUAUGUGGAAAUUGGAAUGGAAAUUUAUGUAGGCAAAGAAAAAAGAAUAGCAAAUGUGGUGACUCAACACUGGAAUGACAUAAAAGGAUCAGACAGAGAUUGGCCAGAAAGGCAUGAAAUAGACACUGCAGAAAUAAUGGAGUCAUGGCAGCAUUGUUUUAUCAUUGAAGUCAAAGAUCAAGGUUAUAUUUGCGAAAAUGCAGGAGAAAAGGCCGUUGAAUUCUAUGGUUUUGAGAAAAAGACGCGCAUUGAUAAUAAGUAUGCAAUUGAUGCACCAUUUCUGCGACUAUAUAAAAUAGAUGCAGUCAUUGAUAAACUUGAUACUGUAAUAGAGAGUAAAUGCCCAAUCAAUGAAGAGGAAGAAAGUGAAAGUGUUAAAAUGAGGCAAGUAUUGUUGCCACUUGGGAAUAAAGAAGGUAUAACACACAUAUUGGGCGUAAUUACUUUUAAACUCCUUUAAUAUACAAUUUUAAUUUGAUUCUUUAAUAAAAUUAUUUAUACUAAUGCUUAAUUACUAUUAAAGAACUCAAUAGUAGUGCUUGUAAAUUUAUUUGGAAUAUGAAGAAAAUAAAAUUAAAAACCAAAUCUUCUGUGAAAAAGCGCUUUCACCUUACAGCUAAGGGUAAAGUUAUUUCUACUCAGUCAGGCAAAAGGCAUGGCAUGGUAAAGAGAAGUAAAUCUAAUAUUCGUAAUCAGCGCGGUACAACGAUUCUUGGUAAAUCUGACUCGCGUAUAGUUAAGCUUCAUAUGCCUUACGGUAUUUAACAAAAUGGAGGUAAAAUAAAAUGGCUCGGGUAAAACGUGGAGUCACUACUCACGCUCGCCAUAAAAAAAUAUUGAAACUGGCAAAGGGUUAUAGAGGGCGCGCAAAAAGUUGUUAUAGAAUUGCAUUACAAAGAGUUGAAAAAGCACUGCAAUAUGCUUAUAGAGACAGAAGAACCCGUAAACGUGAUUUCCGUAGCUUAUGGAUAAUA